GAUGAACGCUGGCGGCGUGCCUAAUACAUGCAAGUCGAGCGAACGGACGAGAAGCUUGCUUCUCUGAUGUUAGCGGCGGACGGGUGAGUAAGACGUGGAUAACCUACCUAUAAGACUGGGAUAACCUCGGGAAACCGGAGCUAAUACCGGAUAAUAUUUUGAACCGCAUGGUUCAAAAGUGAAAGACGGUCUUGCUGUCACUUAUAGAUGGAUCCGCGCUGCAUUAGCUAGUUGGUAAGGUAACGGCUUACCAAGGCAACGAUGCAUAGCCGACCUGAGAGGGUGAUCGGCCACACUGGAACUGAGACACGGUCCAGACUCCUACGGGAGGCAGCAGUAGGGAAUCUUCCGCAAUGGGCGAAAGCCUGACGGAGCAACGCCGCGUGAGUGAUGAAGGUCUUCGGAUCGUAAAACUCUGUUAUUAGGGAAGAACAUAUGUGUAAGUAACUGUGCACAUCUUGACGGUACCUAAUCAGAAAGCCACGGCUAACUACGUG
rnacentral:rRNA from 1 species